UAAAAUCCAUCACUCAGGAAAAAAAAAGAGAUAAUAUCGUGGUGAUAUAUCUAUAGUUUAUAAUUUAUCAUUUAAAAAAAAAUUAAGCCUAAAGUGGUGGCACAUGUCUUCAGUGCCAGCACUUGGGAGGCAGAGGCAGGCGGAUUUCUGAGUUUGAGGCCAGCCUGAAGUGCAUAGUGUUUGAAAAAAAAAAAAGAAUAGAUGGGAUGUAGUCAUGUGCUAAUUCUGAAUUUAUGUUUGGUGUUAAGGCAAUUUGUUGUUAAAGGCAUACAACACUACUGGCUUGCUCUCCAUUUUUUGAGAUAACAUUGCAGAGAGAAAAAAGAAAUUCCAUUUUAAAAAGGCCCAACUGCACUCUAAGGCAAAGGGCAGUCAUCUUCCACAUUAACAGCAGAGCUC
rnacentral:lncRNA from 1 species